AUUUGGUGGGGCGUUCUUUCUUGUUUGUUAUUAUAUUUUUGUUCUCCUCUUUUCCCUUUUGACCUUGUCAUUCACCUUAAGAUGGUUUGUUGGAAUGCAGCUGCAGGAAGUUAUUGAUGAAGAUGAUGAAAAGCUGAAAAAUCUAAAGAAUGAGCUUGGUGAUGAAGUGUGCUCUGCUGUGACAAUUGCCUUGAUGGAGACAAAUGAGUACAAUCCCAGUGGUAGGUACGUAACACCAGAAGUUUGGAAUUACAAGGAAGGGAGGAAAGCAACACUACGCGAAGGGGUAGAUUAUAUAGUUAAGCAGUGGAAAGUGAAAAGGGGAAAGAGAAGCUACUGCACGUUUUGAGAGGUUGAGUUUUUCAUUUGUCUGACAUAGAAAACAACAUUGUAGCUUCUUUUUCGACAGAGAGAUAUAGGCUUAACAAUCCGUUCUAUGGGCGAGCCGCGCUAACAUUUUGAAAAGUUGCAACAUAUGACAUUUGAGAGAGGUUGAGUUUUUUCUUUUCUUUUCAAAAGAUAUUUAGAUGGUCAUACCACAUGUUUUCAUGGCAGUUCCUUAAUUCCAAAUGUUAUAUCCAUACAAAGUAUUAUAUAAGAGAAUUGGACAAGUUUUGGUUUGUGGCUGUCCAUUGCUAGAUUGUUGUCGUGUUGCCGAAAAUGACCUUGAUUCCAUUGGGUUUGCUUUUGUUUGUUGCUGGUGUUUUUUGAUAAUUUUGGUCUUUGCAAGUUGGUGGUGGUUUUAUGGCUAGUCUGAGUGCUUUUCCUGCUCCACCGUAUGUACUUCUCUGAGUAGAAAUGAUGAGAGUGGUUGGAAUAGUGUACUUGUUGCUUGUGCACUAAGAAUAGAGAAUACAUGUCAUAUAUAAAGCCUGGUUCUUUCUCUCAUAUUUUCCUUGGCCCUCAUGUUCUUCUCUGGGCUGGUUUGGAGGCUUGUUUCGUGUUUGGCUUCUUUUGACACUCAGCCAGCACAAUUAAAGAAAAGUUGGGUUCUUUAUCAUCGCGAGUGAAGCAAUUGAUUUGAAUAACAGCAAUUGAUGGCAACACCUGAGAUCAAAAUUAAGCCCUCGACGGAACCUGGUAUCACGACAUUAAAGGAUGAUUGUAUUAGUGUGAGGUGCUCAACUCCUGAGAAGCUCUUUGGUAGAUGACCAAUUUGGGGUUCAAUUUGUUGUGAUGAUGACAUGUGUUAGAUAGAUGAUAAGGAUGAUCUUGUAGUUUGAGCAUCUAUGAAGUUUGAUUCUGCUUUACUUUCGGAUGAUAAUAAAUCUGGGUUCGCCUCUAUGAUAUUCUAGGUAAGCUCUCU